CUCUCUCUCUCUCUCUCUCUCUCUCUCUCUCUCUCUCUCUCAAUUUUUGCCUUCUUCGCUGGGAAGAAAGCUUUGCUCCACAGGGACAGAAUACAAGGAGAAAAUUUGAUGGCACACCACUUGCUUCAACCUCCUCCCUCUUUGGGGUUGGUUCUAGAAAUUGAUGGAUUAUGGAAUUACAGUUUAUGAAUUGUUUUUUUUCUUUCUUCUAGCUAGUGUCUUUGCUGGGGGCUGUCCAAAAUGAAUGUUUCUUCAAAUGGCCUCAACACCUUGGUUCUACUCUGCUCCCCUGUGGUCCUAUGUAUUAUGUUUGGUUGUUAGUUUUGGGAUUUUUGCCCACGGGUGGCUUUUAUGAAAGUUUGUUUUUCUGAUUUUGCUGUGGUUGCCACUGGGAAGAAAGAGUUGCUUGUGUUUACAACCCAAGCUUUUUUCCUGAUGUGAUUUCACCUAUGGAAGGUGAUAUGCUGUAGAACAUUAUUUGAUGAGGAAGAUUUCAUUGGUCUACG